rnacentral:misc_RNA from 1 species
UUGACCAAAACAACUCACACCGAAACUGCCAUAUAUAUGCCCCCUCUCACCGUAAUUUAUCGUCAUACUUGCACCUCUCUCUCAUUCUGUGUGUUCCGACCUCAUUGAACAAGAAAAGAAAUUGCUAUGGCUUCUUCAAGCUUAGUGUUCUUGAUGCUAAUGGCGGUGUUCGCGGUGUCCUCCGUGGCACAGUCACCAAC